rnacentral:tRNA from 1 species
GGGGAUAUGGUGUAGCCUGGCCUAUCAUCGGGGACUCCAAAUCCUCGGACCUGGGUUCAAAUCCCAGUAUCCCCACCA